ensembl:lncRNA
GUAAAGAGAAAAGAAGAAAAAGCCAAGUCAAAAAGUAAAGAAUAACUCGAAGGAAGGAGUGGAUGGCAAGAAAUACAGGAAAGCAGUGCAUAGCACAGCAGAGCAAAGCAAGGCAAAAUAGCAGCCAAAGCCACGAGAAUCAAGAAGUCAGUGAAGAGCAGGAAAGGAAUGGAGGAAUCUGUCCAGAGCUGUGCCCCUGCUUGCCACAGGAGCUGCGCGGGAGGAGAAGAACGUGGGCCAAAAGGUAAGAGGAGCUCCUUUGGGUUCUGGGCUUGAAGCAAAGCUGAGAAGCCAUGCCCGGGAGGAGGUGUGGGUAGCUACAGGCCACCUUGCUAUCUCCCCAAGAGAUGAGGUGUGUGGGCUAGGCACCGGGCAGGAGUGCUGGCCAGAAGCAAGCAUCUCUGUGGAGGAAGGCAAAGGGCGGAGGAGGUUCAAGGGUAGCUACCGGGCAUGGCCUUGCUCAGCAAGGGGAGGAAAAGCCUGAAGGGCACGAGAAGGGGAUAGAGAAGGGCAGGCAGUAGGCGUGAAGCUGCGAGCAGAGUAGAGAGCAACUUGGCAGAGCAGCAAGCAGAGUAGGCAAGUGUUGAGGUUUGGCGUGAGUAGCAGCAAAAGCCCAGAGCAUCAAGAAGCAGGAAGUGAGGAGAAGGUAAGUGAAGGGCAGGAAGUGAGGAGAGGUAAGUGAAGGG